AGUGAGCAAAUCUUUCGUACACAGUCCUAGUAGCAUAAAUGACAUGUUCAGGACAAUCUUCAAAAUAGAAUAUUCUAUGAUACAAUGUAACUGUGCUACCAAUUAAUCGGGCCUUAUUCUCUCGUAUUUAUGAUUAGUGGGAUUUCGGUAUAACCUUUAUAAACUCUUGACAUGAAGUUUGAGCUACAAUAAUUAUGGUUCAGACCUCAAAAGGCUGGCUUUGCUAAACACAGUGAAGAACCUCCAUUUGCAAUUUUCUCCUUACUACUUGAUACUUAUUGGGUCACUUAGGAUCGUACUGGUUAUAGACUUGUCCCAACCAUGGAAAUUUGUAGCUAAGUGAAUUGCCAUUCCAAAUCCGCCUUGGAAACUGAGUUUGGCUUGGUGGAUAAAGUAUUGUUCCCUACUCUCAAAUUAUGGUAUUCUUUUCGUUAACAGUGUGCCUAUGUUCUUCCGAAGUUUAGAAUUGAGCAAUAUUAGCCAACUUCUCGUCACUCAUACAAUCUAGCCGUAUUAUUCCAGCCCAACACUGCCGUAAAUGGCUUUUUUAACUCUUUCUACUAUUGAUGUCAUGUAUGAAGUGCCAUCCAUACAAAUACCAAAUUUUAAUGCCGAAAGUUACCAUUGAUCGAGUCUCAGUGCCCGAUAACAUUUCCAUGUCCCAUUUAAGUACACCACCGUGCUCAUAUAGACUUGAACCAAACAGAUUCAGAUUUGAAACGUAUAGUUGGCACCGAGUUUAAAUAUAUCAUACAGAUUCGUAUGUUCCGGUGAUAGUUAUUCUCGUAUGGGAAACAAGUUACAUCUCCUAAUUUCUAGUUUGAAAAGCGAACAUCAUUCUCCUAGUUCAUUUUGGCCUCGGAUUUGAGAGUAUCUGAAUAAAAAACUAAGCAGUGUGUAAAGAUGCAUGGAUGAUCACUUUUUUUCUGUUCCAUAUACAUCCGCUGACUCCAAUUUACCUUCUCAAGUUCUUUCUGCAAUCUUGGAGUUGCAUCCAUAUCCACAGACAUGAUAGGUAUUCUGCAAGAUACUAAACGAUGUUAGAAGUUCCCUUAUCUCCAUCUCUGUUCAAUAACAUCAGUUCAAAGCAUAAGUGAAAUUGAGAAUGCCCUUCGUAACCUCAAUGGAUGAUUCCAUAUAUGAUAUAUCGCCCGCCUGAAAAGAAAUGCAACAUGUAGAACACCAAACAAAAAGGUAACUUGGAACAAUAGCUGGUUUUCCAGUUUCAGUAUCGCUCUGAUUAACAAAGUAUCAAUGGAAGAAAUACGCGAUACAAUCCCGUUUUCGUACCAUUUCUUCGAGACAUUGAGAGUUCCCUAUAUAUACUCCAUAACAAAGAUAAUAGCGUACAUUUACGCUGAUCAGUUGGAGAGGGUUCACACAUUCACUCUAUUAAAUUCUAGCCAUGCUAACGCCCUUGGAAUCUCCUCAAAACUCAAGUUGACCGUUUAGAAGGUUGACAGACUAAGUGAUCCUUCAGACCCUUAAUAACUACGUCUACCUCUUUUUU